GGUGGUGUAGCUCAGUGGUAGAAUGACAGCCUAGCAUGCUUGAGAUUCUGGGCUUGAUCCCCAGCACCACAG
rfam:Fukomys damarensis contig122040, whole genome shotgun sequence.